rnacentral:rRNA from 1 species
CUACGUGCCAGCAGCCGCGGUAAUACGGAAGGUCCGGGCGUUAUCCGGAUUUAUUGGGUUUAAAGGGAGCGUAGGCCGCCCCUUAAGCGUGUUGUGAAAUGCGGGUGCUCAACAUCCGACUUGCAGCGCGAACUGGGGGGCUUGAGUGCGCCGAAAGUAGGCGGAAUUCGUGGUGUAGCGGUGAAAUGCUUAGAUAUCACGAAGAACUCCGAUUGCGAAGGCAGCUUACUGUAGCGCAACUGACGCUGAUGCUCGAAAGCGUGGGUAUCGAACAGGAUUAGAUACCCUGGUAGUCCACGCGGUAAACGAUGGAUGCUCGUUGUCGGCCUGUGUGGUCGGUGACCAAGCGAAAGCGUUAAGCAUCCCACCUGGGGAGUACGCCGGCAACGGUGAAACUCAAAGGAAUUGACGGGGGCCCGCACAAGCGGAGGAACAUGUGGUUUAAUUCGAUGAUACGCGAGGAACCUUACCCGGGCUUGA